rnacentral:lncRNA from 1 species
AAAUAGAUAAAACUAUUAAUUACAAAUUAUCGUUAUCUAAAUAUUUGAAAUUAUUUAAUCAAACAUAUCAGAUGGACAAUAGGAAAAGUCGAAUCGAUAAAUAGGCAAUGAUUGACGGUAUUUAUAGUAGCAUAUGCAGCGUUCGUAAAUUGUUUUAUUGCUUUAUUUGUCUUCUUCUUUCAUCAGGAAUUAAAACAAUGAUAUAUGUUUGAGGAACAAAUAAAAUAUGAACUUGUCAUCAAAAUGAUAUUUUAAAAUACCAUACCACUGUAAAAACAAAUUUAAAAUUC